AGUCGAGCGAACAGAUAAGGAGCUUGCUCCUUUGACGUUAGCGGCGGACGGGUGAGUAACACGUGGAUAACCUACCUAUAAGACUGGGAUAACUUCGGGAAACCGGAGCUAAUACCGGAUAAGAUUUUGAACCGCAUGGUUCAAUAGUGAAAGACGGCCUUGCUGUCACUUAUAGAUGGAUCCGCGCCGUAUUAGCUAGUUGGUAAGGUAACGGCUUACCAAGGCAACGAUACGUAGCCGACCUGAGAGGGUGAUCGGCCACACUGGAACUGAGACACGGUCCAGACUCCUACGGGAGGCAGCAGUAGGGAAUCUUCCGCAAUGGGCGAAAGCCUGACGGAGCAACGCCGCGUGAGUGAUGAAGGUCUUCGGAUCGUAAAACUCUGU
rnacentral:rRNA from 1 species